AAUUUUAUAAUUUAGUUAUGAACAUUUUAUAUUUUAAUUAAUUAAAAUAUUUGAAUAUCUUAUAAAAAUAUAUUUAAUGUUUGAUAUUUGGUGUAUAAAUAAAUAAUAUUAAAUCUGAUUUUUUUUAAUGUAAUCUAUAAAAUGAUAUAUUUAUGGUUUAAAUAUAGAUUAAACUAUAUAAAAUUG
rnacentral:tRNA from 1 species